rnacentral:sRNA from 15 species
CGUACAGUUCUGGGAAAGACACAGUUAUCGAUGUAUCCAGCAAAAAUUGCAGUUUUCCCCGGUAAUAUUCUGUCGAUAACGA